CGGAUACUUAGCUUGCUAAGUAUGCCGGCGACCGGCGCACGGGUGAGUAACGCGUACCGAACCUGCCCAUCACACAGGGAUAGGCUUGCGAAAGCAAGAUUAAUACCUGAUGGUCUCAAUUUUAUGCAUGUAUGAUUGAGUAAAGCCUUCGGGCGGUGAUGGAUGGCGGUGCGUCCCAUUAGGAAGUUGGCGGGGUAACGGCCCACCAAUCCUUCGAUGGGUAGGGGUUCUGAGAGGAAGGUCCCCCACAUUGGAACUGAGAUACGGUCCAAACUCCUACGGGAGGCAGCAGUGAGGAAUAUUGGUCAAUGGGCGAGAGCCUGAACCAGCCAAGUAGCGUGCGGGAUGAAGGCCCUUGUGGUCGUAAACCGCUUUUAUCAGUGAAUAAAGUGCAUCACGUGUGGUGUCAUUGCAGGUAGCUGAAGAAAAAGGACCGGCUAAUUCCGUGCCAGCAGCCGCGGUAAUACGGAAGGUCCGGGCGUUAUCCGGAAUUAUUGGGUUUAAAGGGAGCGCAGGCGGGAGUAUAAGUCAGCUGUUAAAUAUCAGAGCCCAACUCUGUUAUGCAGUUGAAACUAUAUUUCUUGAGUACGCACAGGGAUGGCGGAAUUCAGGGUGUAGCGGUGAAAUGCUUAGAUAUCCUGAAGAACUCCGAUCGCGAAGGCAGCCAUCCGGAGCGUAACUGACG
rnacentral:rRNA from 1 species